GCUUCUAGUUGCUGGCAAUGGGCCAAGUG
rnacentral:sRNA from 1 species